GUGCCAAGGUAUUAUACUACUUGCAUAAAAAAAACAUACAUAGUUCAUCGGGAUCUUAAAACACACAACCUCUUACUUUUUAAUGGGUAUCGCACAUUGAAAAUAUGCGAUUUUGGUACAGUCAAAGAACUUGUAACAAUGAAUACAGAAUUACUUGGAACUGUUUGUUACAUGGCACCAGAAGUUUGCAACUUAAAUGGAAAAUACAAGGAAAAGUGUGAUGUGUUUAGCUUUUGAAUCAUAUUUUGGGAAGUUAUAUCAAGGAAGAAGCCAUUUUACGAAAUGCUCUCAGAAGAUAUGCAUGUAUGGGCAAUUCAAAAUCAAA